GAUGAACGCUGGCGGUAUGCUUAACACAUGCAAGUCGAACGGUCACUUCGGUGAUAGUGGCGGACGGGUGAGUAACGCGUGAGAAUCUGUCUUCAGGUCGGGGGCAACAGUUAGAAAUGACUGCUAAUACCGGAUGUGCCUUUGGGUGAAAGAUUUAUUGCCUGAAAAAGAGCUCGCGUCAGAUUAGCUAGUAGGUGGUGUAAGAGACUACCUAGGCUCCGAUCUGUAGCUGGUCUGAGAGGACGAUCAGCCACACUGGAACUGAGACACGGUCCAGACUCCUACGGGAGGCAGCAGUGGGGAAUUUUCCGCAAUGGGCGAAAGCCUGACGGAGCAAUACCGCGUGAGGGACGAAGGCUUUUGGGUCGUAAACCUCUUUUCUCAAGGAAGAUGAUGACGGUACUUGUGGAAUAAGCAUCGGCUAACUCUGUG
rnacentral:rRNA from 1 species